rnacentral:lncRNA from 1 species
UAUUUGGAGAAAUGCUUAAUUCUCUUUUAGCUAUCAUUAUAACAUGUUUCUUAGGUUUUCAUAUAUGGUACAAAUUAAGAAAAUAUAUGAAUGAGUUAAUGUUAUGAGUAUAUAUUAUUUCAUAUUUUUAUGUACGUCGGGGUUUAUAUAUAUAUAUAUAUUAUUACGGUUUCGCUUAUGUUUAUUUGUGUUUAUUUUUUUAGGCUUAUUGCCAGGGGUAUGACGACAAUCGAGUUUUGUGAAAAACGGACAAAUUAUCACAAUCAGACUUAUACGAAAUAUUAUAAUAAGGGUUUAUGGCAGAAUUUCAAGGAUACCUUUGGCGAGUCAGCAUUUUUUUGGUUUCUACCAAUAGGUAUUUUUGCAUAUCAUUUUGUUUUUUAUAACAUUUUUCUUUAUUUUUACUAAUUGUCAUAUUUAUUUGUUCAAAAGUAUAUAUACACACACAUACGUACGCAUAUACAUACAUAUGAGUGUUUUUAUAAAUUUAUGAACUUAUGUGUUUAUAUAUUAUUAUAUUACGAAAAUGUAUGCUGUUGUUGUUUUUGCAUUUUCUUUUUAUAAUAAGUAUUUGAUGUGUAUGGAUGUUUCUAUAUAUAUGUGAUUUGUAUAUAAAUUUAUCUAUAUUCGCAAUAUACAUAUAUAUAUAUAUAUAUAUAUAUAUACAACUCGCUUUUUUACGUUUUUAGAUGAUAGGAAAGGAGAUGGAAUAAAUUUUAAAAAAGUCCAUAAAGAUGAGAAAAG